rnacentral:tRNA from 1 species
GGAUGUAGCCAAGUGGAUCAAGGCAG